ACCUACGGGGGGCAGCAGUGGGGGAUAUUGCACAAUGGGGGAAACCCUGAUGCAGCGACGCCGCGUGGGUGAAGAAGCGCCUCGGCGCGUAAAGCCCUGUCAGCAGGGAAGAAAAUGACGGUACCUGAAGAAGAAGCCCCGGCUAACUACGUGCCAGCAGCCGCGGUAAUACGUAGGGGGCAAGCGUUAUCCGGAUUUACUGGGUGUAAAGGGGGCGCAGACGGCGAUGCAAGCCAGGAGUGAAAGCCCGGGGCCCAACCCCGGGGCUGCCCUUGGAACUGCAUGGCUGGAGUGCGGGAGGGGCA
rnacentral:rRNA from 1 species